GGUUACUUCCUUGCUCCUGAAAAUGACAAUGUUUGAUUUUCUACUAUUUCUGUCUAAAAAUUUAAACAGGUCCUGAGAAGAGGAUUAGAAAAAGGCAACACAUCAAAAAGUUAAGAGGCAGAAAUAGCUUUCAUGUUGCUGGUAAAUUUAAUGAGAUCUUAAAUUAUUCGACUGGCAAGUCUCAUCUCUGAGCAUUUCAGUGAAGACUGUCAGAAAUCAUCAAAAUUCAACACAACAGAGUAAAAGCUAAUAGCCUUUUUGUUAUACCAAAACUGAAAGGAUUGGUAAGACUCAAAAUGAAUGCUAUUACUGAAAAUCUUCUUUUAUCUAAUUCUUUGUGCAGUGAGUGAAAAUUGAACAAAUACAUAUCCUUUUUAUGGUGUUAAAAUGAAUUCUGACACUAUUAAACAAAUAUUCUUUUGUCCUAA